rnacentral:rRNA from 1 species
UACGGAGGGUGCAAGCGUUAAUCGGAAUUACUGGGCGUAAAGCGCACGCAGGUGGCUGAGCAAGUCGAUUGUGAAAGCCCUGGGCUUAACCUGGGAAUUGCAGUCGAAACUACUCGGCUAGAGUAUGGGAGAGGACAGUGGAAUUCCCGGUGUAGCGGUGAAAUGCGUAGAUAUCGGGAGGAACAUCAGUGGCGAAGGCGGCUGUCUGGGCCGAUACUGACGCUGAGGAGCGAAAGCGUGGGGAGCGAACAGG